AUGGCAUCGGUGGACGCCGGCGAGGGGCAGGCGGCGCCGGCGCCGGCGCCCAGGGCCACCGUUUCGCACGUCAUCUUCGACAUGGACGGCCUCCUCCUCGACACGGAGGGGUUCUACACGGAGGUGCAGGAGAAGAUCCUCGCGAGGUACGGCAAGGUGUUCGACUGGUCCCUCAAGGCCAAGAUGAUGGGCAAGAAGGCCAUGGAGUCGGCGCGCAUCUUCGUCGACGAGUGCGGCCUCGCCGGCCUGCUCACCCCGGAGCAGUUCCUGGAGGAGCGCGAGGGCAUGCUGCAGGAGCUCUUCCCCUCCUGCGCCGUCCUGCCCGGGGUAGUACGCUUGAUUCAUCAUCUCCAUGCAAACAAAGUACCUAUCUGUGUUGCGACAGGAUCCCAUAAACGUCAUUUUGCACUAAAGACACAGAACCAUCAAGAAUUAUUUGCGUUGAUGCAUCAUGUUGUCAUGGGGGAUGAUCCAGAGGUGAAGGCCGGCAAGCCAUCUCCUGAUAUUUUCCUUGCUGCCAUGAGAAGGUUUGAGGGUAAUGUAGAACCCAGUAAUUGCUUGGUCUUUGAAGAUGCGCCAUCAGGUGUAGGAGCAGCUAAGAAUGCUGGCAUGUACGCGGUGAUGGUUCCAGAUCCGAGGCUGGAUAUUUCAUAUCACAAGGAAGCUGACCAAGUCCUCAGUUCCCUAUUGGAUUUCAAACCCACUGAGUGGGGCUUGCCACCUUUUAAAGAGUAG
rnacentral:rRNA from 1 species